rnacentral:tRNA from 1 species
UCCACAGUAGCUCAAUGGCAGAGCAUCCGGCUGUUAACCGGAGGGUUGCAGGUUCGAGUCCCGCCUGUGGAG